GUUUUUCAUAUCAUUAGUCAUGGUUAGAUUCCAUGUAAG
rnacentral:tRNA from 1 species